CGGCGGCUGACACCAGACUUGCCCACCCCUUAUUCUGCCCCUUUUUAGAGGUGCCAAAAGAUUUUCUUAGCGGAAAUCACUCAGAGUAACCCUGUCAGGCUUUCGCCUAUUGCAUAGGUUUCGCGCCUGCUGCGCCCCAUAGG
rnacentral:rRNA from 1 species